rnacentral:rRNA from 1 species
AUGCCGCCGCGCCGCCGUGGAGCGUCGGGCUACCGCGGCGUCCGCCAGCGCCCCAACGGCUGGUACUCCGCCGAGAUUCGGUCCGGCGACGUCCGACUCGGCCUCGGUAUGUUCGAGACCUCGCACGAGGCCGCACGCCUACGACGCGGCGGCGUGGCGCCUGGACAGGCCGCGCCAGCAGAUGAACUUCCAGGAUGUCCACACGCGCCAGCAGGCGCAGGACGUCGCCCCUCCGCCUCGUCUUAUCACGGACCAGGACCGUGCGGAGCACGGUCGGCGGCAGCGCCGCCUCCUCGUCGCCGAGGAGGACGAGCGGGCCAUGGCGGAGUGGCGCCGGCGCCACCCGGAGGACGUCGCCAACGAGGAAGCCUUCUGGGCAAGGCGCUGCGAGGAGCAGACGGCAAAGCGCCGCGCGGAGUGGUUGGACAGGCGUCGGCGGAAGGCCCUGGCGUUAUCGCAGUGCGAAAUUAUUCAAAAUGGUGGGCAGUCGAUCUUUUCGUCUGA